rnacentral:sRNA from 1 species
UUUUCAGAUGGUUUUUGUCAAAAAUGAAAGUGGCCGCAUCCGUGUUCAUCCUCAACCUUUAUAUAUGUUAUGUAUUGUCAUAAAAUACAACUCAUAUCUCAAUAUUUUGGAUGAACACGAAUGCGGCCACUUUGGUGUUACAAGGAAACCGUCUAAAAU